AUCAUUUCAUAUAAUUAACAAAUAUUAAUUCUUAAUUAACAAGUUUACAUAAUUCACAUUUUAAUAUUUUCUAUAUGUUCACUAUUAUUGUCUAUUUUACUAUACUUUUAUAUAUAAUUUUUUGUUCCACUAUGUUGCAAAAUAGAUCAAAUCAAUUUUCUUUGCUCUUGCAGUUUAGUUGUCAAUUUGACAGAUACAUGUCUCAAUUCAAGUUCCCUUAUAUGUGGAGCUCUCAUUUGAAUUGUCAAAAUAUUGUGGAUUCUGUUUGGAACACUCUGGUUGUAGGUUGCCCCAUGUUUGUGUUGACUA
rnacentral:lncRNA from 1 species